rnacentral:lncRNA from 1 species
UGGAAAGCAAAGCAGCCACUAUCGCCCAUAUGCUCCCCCGAACAGGCUUGUUAGUAAACCCAAAGUAGGUCAGCCUUUAGGUCAUGCUUAUCUGCAUCAUAUUGAGACCUAGUGGGACCCACGUGGCCCUUUGUAGGAGAUUCACCUCUAAAACAUCCUAUGUGCUAAAUGUUGCAUCUUUGAGGGUAACUUGAUCAUUUGAUGGGCUGAUUCGGAGAAAACAUGUGUUAAAAGUAAGGUGUGUUUGAAAAAAAAAAGUGAGUCGAAAAGUGAAAAAUGAGUUUGUAGUUUUUAGAAUCGUUUAUGGCUUUUGGUUUUCACAAUCCAAAAAUUCAAAAAGAUUUUUUUUUUUUUACCUUUUGCACUCAUUUUGUCAAAGACAAAAAUAUCAAAAAGAUUUUUCUUUGUUUCUUUAAUAAGCUUUCAUAAUUUAAAAUUUUCAAAAAAGAUUUCUUUUAAUAGGAGCUUUUUAUAAAAUUCAAAAGAAUAUGGUAAAAUUUUUGUACAUUUCAUAUAACGAAAACACCAAAAAUAUUUCUUUCAUAGCUAUUGGUGUCAUUUUUAUGUGAAGUGUCAAAUUGAAAACUCAAAAAAAGAUUUUGUUAUGUUGUUCAUCGUGUGUCUUUAGUUGUGUCUCAAGUCAGGGUGCAAUCUGUGAUUUAAUCAUUAAUUGUCCAAUCUGGACGAACUACGCACCCCUGAUUCUCCUCUUUCGAGAGUGAGAUACGUAAGCAGCCUGUUGUUGGUUCGGGGAUCUUAUUUGAAAAAUCCAAAAAAAGAUUUUCUUCACUUUUCCUUUAAAGUAGGUGUUUCCUAUACAUCUUUAAAAGAAAAUCACAAAAACGAUUUUUUGUUAAUAACUUCAAGUCUCAUUCUCGUAUGAAAUUCAAAAAUUGAAAAUCCAAAAAGAUUUUUCUUUGGUAAUCAUAGGUUUCGUUUUGUAUAGAGAGUUUAAACCUGAAAAAUGCAAAAAUAUUUUCGCCAAUUCUUUUGACAAUUUGUUAUUUUUGAAGUUUCUGAGAAAAAAAAAUUAAUUGGCCAUUUUGGCAAGAGUUCACGAACUACGCACACUUGAUUCUCCUCUUUCAGGGGUGAGAUACGUAGGCGCCCUUCUUGGGUUCGGUUAUCUUUUCUAAAAGAAAAAAAAGGUUUUGAAGAAGAUGUUGAACUCUAACAUAUUUGUUGCCUCUUGUUCAGUUAGUUUAAAGUGGUGGGUUUGUGGCAUCCUAGCUGGUCCUCCACAUCACACCAAAUCUAAAAAAGGUUUAGCUGUGUUCAACAAGGAUACGGAGAGUGACCUCAUGGAUCAAACAAAGAGGCAAGAAAAUAAGAGUUUAAAGGAAGAAAAUUUGAGACUAAGACAACAAAUGAUGAAAAUGUAUCGAGCUUGGGCUAGUGGGCUACCUUCUCCUCCAUUCCCCACUAUUGAUCCUCCCAAUAUCUUGAGUUUUUCAUCACAAUUGCAAAAAUAAGUUCCCUAUUGUUGAUUGACGCACCGCAACAUGCCUCGAAAUUCAUGCCACGUCAGCUACAUCUCAAUACAUCCACCACUCAUUCUCUAGCUCCUCGGGUCACAGUGUUGAAGGUUGUAGUGCUUUGAAAUGGAAAGGUUGAUUCAAGAAAAUUUGAUCGUAGUGCAAAAUAUUGACACUACAAAGGUCACACAGAAUCUUUCACCCACACACGGUAAUGCAUGAUAUGAUAUGUUGGAAGCAAUGAGUCAAGCACGGAGAUCCAGAACUUAUUUAUUGAAGAGAAUGUGUCUGACAGUGGUGGAAGCUCUAGUCAUUCUGAUAUACAAAUCAGUGGCUAAGUUGUCAGGCUGAGCAAUUGAGAAGUCACCCCUCUCCCUACUAGGAAGAGGUCUGAUAGUUUGUUUUAUUUUAUUUUCUGUUAUCCAAAUUAUUUCAAAGUUGUAGUUCAGGAUCUAUAUUGUUUUAUUUCUCUAUCGUCUUUGUUUAAACCCUUCUAUCUUUUCUUUCAAUGAAAUAUAGUGUCCCUUGUCGUUUUGUCUCAUUUUAAGUCAUUUUUUGUUUUCUUUACAUAGUACAUUUUUAUGUUGCCUCUAGUGAUAUGACAUACUGACGGAACUUUCAGCUAGAUCUUAAAAUCCACUUUGAGCAUGAACUUUGAAUCAGAGAGCUAAAGUUAGAAAAAACAUCCGAGAAAAUAUGUAGAGUGCUGAGACAUUUGGUGAUAAGUUGAAGCCUUCUUCGAAAAUUAAGGCAAUUGUUUUGAGAAUCACAAAACUCACUUGGUUAUCAAUUGAAAGACAUAUCUCAAUUAGGUCAAAUAGUGUCUGCAUGAAUAGAAAGAAAUUCAGCUCCACGAAAUCAUGAGUCAUUCAAGGUGAGGAAUGUACAACGAAAGUGGAGUUGUAUGCUAGAAAACGCAGAAGAAGUAGUGACGCACAGACUCAGUCAAAGUUAAUGCUUAAAAGAUGUCACAAAUGAUCUUCAUUUUUCAUUUUCAUAUUACAUGAUGUGUACUGGCAUUUUCAAGGAUUGAUAUGACGAAGGCAUUUCAUUCUGCUAUUCAAACAUUGUGUCAUCCUUUGUUUACCCCAUUUGAGCCUUAGUGUUAUUUUCUGUCAUACCCUUCUUUUGAAAUCAAGAUAAAGUCAUCAAAACUCAAAAAAAAUGUCGAGCAAAACAAUAGAGUCAAAAAAAUUUAAAAAAAAAGAAAAAAAAAGAAAAAUCAUAUCAAAAGAAAGAAUAAGCUACCAGAUCUAUGCAUGACCUGAUUCUUUUCUUUCGGGGGUGAGAUACGUAGGCUGUCCUACCUGGGGCUCGAUCUAGCCAAAUAAACAAUUUAGAGUCACCCAGUCAAAAGAAACUGGGCAUGAGUUAAUCCUCAUUGUUUGAGUCAAUUCUAAAAGUUGUAAGUCCUACCCCACUUCAAGUAUUGUUUGGGCCUCAUGUCAUCCUUUCUUUCUAACUUUAUCCAAAAGCCAAGUUACAACCAAAUAAAGACCUUCAGAUCAAUCUUUGAGAAUGUUAAGGCUAAGCAUGAAAUGGAUAUGAUGACACAUUUUGAGAAUUACUCGUCUUCCUCAGCAUAAGAAAUCAGGAGAGAAAUAAAAAUGAGAGAAUCUUAUUGGUGAAAAUCUUCACGGGCACCAUAAGAAGAUGGUAAGUUGAGAGAGAUAAAAAUGAGAGAGUUUUAUUGGUGAAAAACCCACGGGCACCAUAAGGCGAUGGUGAGAUGAGAAAAAAAUAAAAGAGGCUUGUUGGCAAAAAUCCUUCAAUGUGCCACUAGCCGAAUAAGCUCUUCAAAUGCAAUGGGUCCAAGCAAGUAACUUAGUUUCAGAGCCAUUAACUCAAGAACAAUUGGUAGAAAAUUUGGAUGGAAAGAUCAAGCAGUUUGAUCCAAAAUUCAUGGCAUAAUCAUUAAAGUUGACUGUCAUUUCUAGAUAAAUUUUUCAUUUCUUUAUUUCAAAUGGGGACAUUCAUUGUCUUUUCUUUCUUCUCUUUAUUUUUUAUUUUAUUUUCUUUAGUCAGUUGUUCAAAUAAAAUCAUUGUCAUUUUUUAUCUUGUCUUUGAGUCAAGUCUAUGUCAAAACAAGUGAGAAAAGAUUUCAAAACUGGCUACCAUCUUCUUCAAUUGCGCAAAGCAAGACAAAAGGUCAACAUAUGAAAGAGACAUGAUUAUGAGCCGAAAUAAGGCAUGCAAAAAUUUUGUCAACCGAAAAGUCUGGGAACUCAUGAAAAUACCAAGGUGCAAAGGGUUUAUUUGAGAAGCAUGACAAAGCAAAGAUAUUGUAUCUGUUUCAGAGUCACUCUUAAUAAUCUGAGUUCGGGUCAAUGAUGCAGCAAGUCAGUGACACGUGCUAAUGGUUGAAAGAAAGAUUAAAUGUGAUAGGGGCAGGAGCGAUUCCCAUGAAAGCUAAAGCCACAAACCAGCCACCAUGUUUUAAACUCACAAGUUUUCUAUGAUGAAAUAGGAAAUAUAUUACCUUCAAAGUAAGGAUUUUAGAGCAUAAAUAUCAAGGGUUGCAAUGCCUCACUUUUACAAACGCAGGAAGUAAUGUUGCUGCACAGGUUUGAUAGUCAAAUCAUGGUAAAAUUCAUCAUCUUAUAUCCCUCAUAGACACACUUUCUUGUCCAGGGAUUUCAGUUUUCAUUUGCUGGGUGAUACACUUCUUAAAUUGAACCUUCACUCCUAGAAGACGUACCUUUUAGUCGAGUCAUUUCUUUGAAUCCUAUAAGACGUACCUUCUAGUCGAGUCAUUUCCCUUAACCCCUAGAAGACAUACCUUUUAGUCGAGACAUUCCCUUUUAUUCCUAUAAGACGUACCUUUUAGUCGAGUCAUUUUCUUUGAUUCCUAUAAGACGUACCUUUUAGUCGAGUCAUGUUCCUUGAUUUCUAUUAGACGUACCUUUUAGUCGAGUCAUGUUCCUUGAUUUCUAUUAGACGUACCUUUUAGUCGAGUCAUGUUCCUUGAUUUCUAUUAGACGUACCUUUUAGUCGAGUCAUGUUCCUUGAUUUCUAUUAGACGUACCUUUUAGUCGAGUCAUGUUCCUUGAUUUCUAUUAGACGUACCUUUUAGUCGAGUCAUGUUCCUUGAUUUCUAUUAGACGUACCUUUUAGUCGAGUCAUGUUCCUUGAUUUCUAUUAGACGUACCUUUUAGUCGAGUCAUGUUCCUUGAUUUCUAUUAGACGUACCUUUUAGUCGAAUCAUCCCUUGAUUCCUAUAAGACUUACCUUUUAGUCGAGUCAUUCCCCUUGACCCCUAGAAGACGUACGUUUUAUUCAAGUCAUCCCCCUUGAUUACUAUAAGACGUACCUUUUAGUCGAGUCAUUCCCCUUGACCCCUAGAAGACGUACCUUUUAGUCAAGUCAUCUCCCUUGAUUCCUAUAAGACAUAACUUUUAGUCGAGUCAUGUUCCUUGAUUUCUAUUAGACGUACCUUUUAGUCGAAUCAUCCCUUGAUUCCUAUAAGACGUACCUUUAGUCGAGUCAUUCCCCUUGAUUCCUAUAAGACGUACCUUUUAGUCGAGUCAUCUCCUUUGAUUCCUAUAAGACGUGUUGACAUUUAAUUUUUGACCUCCAUAACUAAGUUUAAUUCGAAGUUUCUUCGAUUUUCAAAUAACAUCACAACAAUUAUUUUUUUCAAAUAAAUUCAUUUUUAAAUAGGUAUUUGGGCUAAAUUUGUUAUUUAAGUGAUAAUUAUAUAUUUUCGUAUUUGCUUUUACGAAAUUUUAUAAAUGACGUCAUCUAAAUGAAUAUUUUCAUCAAAAUUGAACUUUAAAUUAAGGAUCAUUUCAAAAAAAUAAUAAUUAAAAUCUUGAGCUAAUUAUAAUUUAUUCUCGAAAAUAAUUUAUUUAGAUAAAUAUGCAUUUGAUUUUAUUAAAUCAAGAAACUCGGGAUUAAAUAAGGUAUUAAUUCGUAUCAAAUUUCAAUUUAAUUUAGCCAAUCUAUUAUAUUUGACCAUAAUUGAAAAUUGGCCAUAAUUGCAAUGCAAUUUGUCAAUUGAUUUUUAAUUUGGUCAAAAUAAAUAAAUAUGGCUAGAUUUUAAAUUCUAAUUGGGGUUAUAUUUUAAAUAACCCCAAAAUUCUCAAGAACUCUUACAACUUCUACCCAAUUCCCACCAAAAAAUAAAUUCAAAUCGUACUACAUUGUACUAUUCCCACCAACUUUGUCCUUUUCCAAUUUUGAAAUUCAAAGAUUGUACUACAUUGUACUAUCUCCCCCACAUUAUCUUCCACCUCACCUUAUCUUUAAUUUUUACAUUUCAAAAAACCCCCUAAAUGUUUUUUCUCCCACAUUAGUGGAUGACAAGAAAUAAAUCUUUAUCCUUUCCUAUAAAUACUUUUCUUCCACAUUGGUGGAGGAGAGAAAAAAAAAACACUUCAUUCUCUCCUAUAAAUACUACCACUACUUUGGUAGAGAGGGGAGAAGGAAGAAAAAAAAGGCUAGAAAGGUGAAAAAAAUUCUUUUGAGCAAAAAAAUAGUUAUUUUUAUUUAGUAAAAAUUUUUGUUUCAUAAAGUUGAUCGGCUAAUCAAAAUUUUUGAGUUGCCGGCGAUGUUUUUCGGUGGUGGUUGAUUCCAACAAAGCUCGUAGUCUCGUUUUGCUGCCCCCCAAAAGGUAAACAUACCUUUUUUUUUUAAUUAUUAUUUUAGUUUUUAUUAUCGUUUUUAUCUUCAUCUUUUUUCUUCUUUGUAGUUUGUAGAUAUAAUUUUAUUUGUUGGGAUUGUAUGUUGUAGAUGGCCUUGAAGGCCCUAGGACGUUGUGGUGUCGAUAUUCUAAUUAUUUUCAUGUUCAUGAUAUAAAAANNNNNNNNNNNNNNNNNNNNNNNNNNNNNNNNNNNNNNNNNNNNNNNNNNNNNNNNNNNNNNNNNNNNNNNNNNNNNNNNNNNNNNNNNNNNNNNNNNNNNNNNNNNNNNNNNNNNNNNNNNNNNNNNNNNNNNNNNNNNNNNNNNNNNNNNNNNNNNNNNNNNNNNNNNNNNNNNNNNNNNNNNNNNNNNNNNNNNNNNNNNNNNNNNNNNNNNNNNNNNNNNNNNNNNNNNNNNNNNNNNNNNNNNNNNNNNNNNNNNNNNNNNNNNNNNNNNNNNNNNNNNNNNNNNNNNNNNNNNNNNNNNNNNNNNNNNNNNNNNNNNNNNNNNNNNNNNNNNNNNNNNNNNNNNNNNNNNNNNNNNNNNNNNNNNNNNNNNNNNNNNNNNNNNNNNNNNNNNNNNNNNNNNNNNNNNNNNNNNNNNNNNNNNNNNNNNNNNNNNNNNNNNNNNNNNNNNNNNNNNNNNNNNNNNNNNNNNNNNNNNNNNNNNNNNNNNNNNNNNNNNNNNNNNNNNNNNNNNNNNNNNNNNNNNNNNNNNNNNNNNNNNNNNNNNNNNNNNNNNNNNNNNNNNNNNNNNNNNNNNNNNNNNNNNNNNNNNNNNNNNNNNNNNNNNNNNNNNNNNNNNNNNNNNNNNNNNNNNNNNNNNNNNNNNNNNNNNNNNNNNNNNNNNNNNNNNNNNNNNNNNNNNNNNNNNNNNNNNNNNNNNNNNNNNNNNNNNNNNNNNNNNNNNNNNNNNNNNNNNNNNNNNNNNNNNNNNNNNNNNNNNNNNNNNNNNNNNNNNNNNNNNNNNNNNNNNNNNNNNNNNNNNNNNNNNNNNNNNNNNNNNNNNNNNNNNNNNNNNNNNNNNNNNNNNNNNNNNNNNNNNNNNNNNNNNNNNNNNNNNNNNNNNNNNNNNNNNNNNNNNNNCUCAUUCUUGUGCAAGUGUGUUUAUUCUUGUCAUUCAAAAAUUGGUUCUUGAUAGUUUCUUUUACUUUGAAAUAUGUCACUUUUAUGCCUUGAACAUAUAUUAAUUUCUUUAUCUUUUCUUUGCGUGCAAAAAAAUAUCUCGAGUCCAAAUGGACUCCUCUCCUCCUACAUUUCGUAAUGGGUAAAUGAGGCUCUUCCCUUCGAGUCAAGUUUGAAGUUUAAAUCCAAGGUUCACUACAUGGCGUACGAGUGCUAGAAGAUAGACAAAGAAGGAAAAUGGGUCAAAACUCAUUGAUGAGAUCACUAAAAGACUUGGAAAGUCUCAAUUUUUAUUAUUGUCUUCUUUUUAUUUAUUCAUUUAGUCAUUUACUUAUUCAUUUAUUUCGGCCUCGAAGUCAAAGUUGUAUUUAAUACAGGUGAAGAAAGACUCGAUCCAAAGGCUCAAAAAAUAGUUUUGGACAGGUGAAAUGGGUUGGAAGCCCAACUAGACUAGGACAUGUCUCGUUGAUUUGUUCCUAAUGGCCUAAAUCUUUUACUUUCUCCUCCCUUCCCCUUUUAUGUGUUUAUUUGUUUAUUAGUUUUAUUUAGACUUAGUUAAAAUCCCUACUAUGUCGCCUAAAUCUAUUUUACACAAGUUUUUUUUUUUUUUUUUGAAAAAAUCAAAUCACUAUUUCAACAAAUUAAUCUUUUCGAAGUUAAUCAAAAGACGAUUUUCAAACAGUCCGGAUAAUAGCAAGUUAGCGGACGUUUUAGGUGCCUAACACCUUCCUAAAACGUUAAUAGAAACCGCUUAUCUAGAAUCUCUAACUUAAAAUGAUUUUCCUAUUUUGAAUCGUUUAAAAUGUUUUAUAAAGGUUUUUUAAUUCCUUUUCAAAAUUAAGUGGCGACUCUUUCAAAAAUCAAAAUUUUUUGCAAAACCGAAAUGGUGACUCUGCUGGGGAUCUUUAACUAGGUUAUAACCAAAUAUUUGAUUUCGUCUUUUGAUUAACUGGUUAUGUGUUUAUAUGUUUCGAUUAUGUAAAUUUUAACUAUCGCUUGUCAUGGCAUAUUCCUGCAUUAUUUAAACUGUUUUGGGGUUUCGUGGGUAUCCCAGCCCCUAUUGAUCAAUUCCCAAAUGUGUUGGAAAUAUGAACGGCUUAUUAGCAUGUGAGUCGUCUAAUGGUUGUUCGUAUUUUCAAACUCAAGUUGUCGUCUUGAGAACCAAUGUUCAAACCCACUCUAGACACUUAGUAUAGAACAAAAACAAAACCCUAUUUUAGGCAUGAUCCUAGGAUGACACAAUACCCGGGGGGGGNNNNNNNNNNNNNNNNNNNNNNNCCUAUUAGAAAACUUGGCCUGCGUCUAUUGACCCCGAGUCAAUUAUAGAAAAAUCAUAUUUAUGUGUUAAAGAAAUAUAUGUUUGUUUAAUACAAUUCAUUAUCCUUUGGGGGUCGGGAGAAGACUUGCUUUACUCACUUUUAUACUAGGAUGUCUCAAUCGUACAUCGAUUGACAAAGGAAUUGAAACAAGCCAAGCAAGAAAUUGAUCGAUUUGGAUAGUUGCAUGGAAUCUAAGGCACAAUUUUAACGUCAACCGAUGUCACCAAUAUAAGAAAUGGACGAAGCUAAGAAGGCGAAGGCUGAUAGAAAAAGCAUUCAGUAAUUAGUAUCCCCUGCGUGGGACAUUAUUCCCUUUCCCUAAAAAUUAUAUCCCUUUUAUGGAACUUUUGUAGACAUUUAUGUCAUUGAUGGUUUUUGGGAUAAUGGAUUGGCCUUAAAAAGGCGUAUAUUUUCUUCAAAAUUCGUUAGGCCUAAACCCUUGGCUCAAACGGGUCACCUAAUUAGGAUGCACAUUUAUUACAAUAUUCUAGUGUAAUAUAACUGUUUAUGUGCUUAUACGUGUUAUGUUGAUUCAAAUCAAAGGCAAACUGAUCCAAUCCCGUUUUCCAUAGAACAUUCUAGGCAGAAAUAUACCCCACUAUACAAAAGUCUGACCAAAAGUACUCCAAGUCUCCCAAGUUUCUCAAAAAAGUCCAUAGUCAUUCUUAAAACUUCCAAAAUAAUCGCUACCAUUUUAGGAAAGUUGAAUUUAGAAUUAGAAAAUGUCGUUAUAGUUUCGAACUACGUAGGGGCUGAUUUCUCCUCCGUGAGAUACGUAGGAAGCCUUUCGGUCCGGCCCAUAUCUCCAAAAGCUCUGUUGUCCUCCAUUUUCUUGAAGGAAGAAGAAGUGUUGAACCUUCCCAACAAAUUCCACCUAUCCAUAUCAUUGAGUAAAAUCCUGUUCAUUGAAAUCCUCGAGUCAUCAUUACUUCAUGGAUCAAUUCGUAUGAGAUGAGAAACAACUCUACGUGUUUACUUCCUACCUUAUCAUCUUGCUUUACUAAUUACUAACGGAAUCUAACACGUCAGCGUUUGAGUUGUUUUUACUUUGCAGGUAAUAGAAACUACUCUGUGUUGGCACAAAAUGACCCUACUUCACCCGAUCAAAAUGAAUAAGAGAUCCCCUUCUUGACUAUAGCAUUGUUACAGGAAGAGAAAAAUGACUAGUAGUAAAAUUGGAUUCUACCAAUCAUUUUUCAAACGUGUAAGCAAUGGUCUCGAGGAUUGAAUAAGGAAAAUGUAAGGAAAGAAUUUUCCAAGACAAACGAGACCAUGGAAGAUUAAUUGGAGGAAACAUUAUUGAAUUGGACCUCCACUCCACUCAUGAAUCAUCGCCCGUCGUAUAAUAGUAACUUAAAAACUUCCAUUAUCAUGUCAUGUCAAGAAGCAAAAUAAUAAUAGCCCUAGAACAUUCAACAAAAGAGUCAAAGAGUUCGAGAAUCAAAGAAGCCUAAUCUAGAGGAAACCGAGGUGGUUAACUAGGAAGGCAAUGACUAAGGAUAUUGGAUAUUUGAUCCUUCAAAGUACUUAUUUAUAUCUUAGUAAGAUGGAUAAAGUAUUUUAGGGCCAUUAUGAGUUUAUGUACGAACUUCGUUUGACCUGAAUUCUCAAGAAUGAGAUACGUAGGCAGCCUAUGUCGGCUUCGAUCAACCCCUUAGGAAAAUUUACCAUUUCCUUUUAUGUACGAACUACGUUUGACCUGAGUUCCCAAAAAGGGAUACGUAGGCGGCCUAUGUCGGCUUCGGUCAACCCCUUAGGAAAAUUUACCCUUUUCUUUUAUGUACGAACUAUGUUUGACCUAAAUUCCCAAGAAUGGGAUACGUACGCUGCCUAUGUCGUCUUUGGUCAACCCCUUAGGAAAACUUAUCCUUUAUUUUUAUGUACGAAAUACGUUUGACCUGAAUUCCCAAGAAAGGGAUACGUAGGCGGCCUAUGUCAGCUUCGGUCAACCCUUUAGGAUAAUUUAUCCUUUCUCUUUAUGUAUGAACUACGUGAUGACCUGAAUUCCCGAGAAAGGGAUACGUAGGCGGCCUAUGUCGUCUUCGGUCAACCCACUAAUUUCUUUUGUAUAUCCCUAGCGUAGUCUUGAACUACGUUUGACCUGAUUCUUGCUUCAACAGGAUACGGAGCCACCCCAACGGCUCGGUCAUAUAACCCCAGGAAGUGAAAACUGGGGCAGAAUUUUCGAGAAGGAAUCUCGAAAAUUCACAAGAAAAAAUCAACAUCCAACAAAGAGAAUGAAGACCAGCAAAGACUUCAGAUCAACUCGGAUUGGUAUCAUCUCAAACAACUUUAAUCUGGGGCAGAAAUUUUGAGGAAGACCUCAAAAUUUCCACCAAAUGCCGGAACGAAUUCCAAAUUCCCCAGCACCAGAGGUUAAAGUCAGGCUUUGGAAGCCACCAUCUGUAACAAAGUCUGGGUAGACUCAAUUUUUGGCUAUGAUAGAACUACUUGAAGAAACCCUCCAACAAUGAUCAUGAGCUUUGGAAACCAUCCGUCGAAUAUAGUCAAAACCACGAGAAAGACGUUCGUUGAGCUAGUACAUGACAUGACUGGCAGAGAUUUGCUAAAGUUUUACAGAAGUUUUCGAAAUUAUUUUUAAAAAUUUAAGACAAUUUUCAAAAUCAUUCAUUUAGUACUUGCCUAGACAUCAAUUGGGAUGGAGUGUUAGGGUGGAAGUCCCAACAUGGAGGAAUGCCCAAGAGAUGGAAAGGAACAAAUCGAGGAUCGAAGAAGGUCAACACGGAGUAAUUUUAUUUAAACUAAUCAUUUUUUGUGGAUGCAGGGAUCGAUACUCAAAAAUGAGGGUCUCUUUCAAAAAUCUCCAAGCAAAGUGGGAGCCACAAUAGAGCAUUAAUACCCAAGAACGGUAUUUUAGGGCAGCCCUAAAAAUAGGUUUAAUACCCAUUUAUUGAUGACCUUUUGAUUUGUCCAUCUCAUUUCUUGAGAUCAUAGGCAACACACAAAAGCUCUUUGUCUUCUUUACACAUAUCGUAUUUAGAAGUUUCCUAAAAAUAGUCGCUAGUAAAAGCAACUUUAUGUCUACUACUCGUCUACCUUGAGUAAAGGUACAUGUAGAAAGCAGGACGCUGACAAAUGAAGUUAGGUAAAAUUACGCAUCAUAGCCACAAGGUAUUGCCUCAAGAGCUAUUGCAUAUCAUUGCCCCAAGGGUCAUUACAUAUCAUAGCCACAAGGCAUUGCCUCAAGAGCUAUUGCAUAUCAUUUCCCCAAGGGCUAUUGCAUAUCAUUGCCCCAAGGGCUAUUGCAUAUCAUUGCCCCAAGGGCCAUUACAAAUCAUAGCCGCAAGGCAUUGCCUCAAGAGCUAUUGCAUAUCAUUGCCCCAAGGGCUAUUGCAUAUCAUUGUCCCAAGGACCAUUAUACAUCAUAGCCGCAAGGCAUUGCCUCAAAAGAUAUUGCAUAUCAUUGCAAGGGCUAUUGUAUAUCGUUGCCCCAAGGGACAUUACACAUUAUAGCUGCAAGGCAUUGCCUCAAGAGCUAUUGCAUAUCAUUGCCCCAAGGGCUAUUGCAUAUCAUUGCCCCAAGGGCCAUUACACAUCAUAGCCGCAAGGCAUUGCCUCAAGAGCUAUUGCAUAUUAUUUCCUCAAGGGCUAUUGCAUAUCAUUGCCCCAAGGUCCAUUACACAUCAUAGCCGUAAGGCAUUGCCUCAAGAGCUAUUGCAUAUCAUUACCCCAAGGGCCAUUACAUAUCUUUGCCGCAAGGAAUUUCCCCAAGGUUCAUUAUAUAUCAUUGCCGCAAGGCGUUGCCCGAAGUUCCAUUACAUAUCAUUGUCGUAAGGCGUUGCCCCAAGGGCCAUUACAUAUCAUUAUCGCAACGCGUUGCCCCAAGGGCCAUUACCAUUACAUAUCAUUGCCGCAACGCGUUGUCCCAAGGGCAAUUACAUAUGAUUGCCGCAAAGCUUGCCCCAAGGGUUAUUGCAUAUCAUUGCCCCAAGUGCUAUUACAUAUCAUUGCCCCAAGGGACAUUAUACAUCAUAGCCGCAAGGCAUUGCCUCAAGAGUUAUUGCACAUCAUUGCCCCAAGGACUAUUACAUAUCAUUGCCCCAAGGGCCACUAUAUGUCAUUGCCGCAAGGCGUUGCCUCAAGGGCCAUUACAUAUCAUGGCAGCAAGGCGUUGCCCCAAGGGCCACUACAUAUCAUUGCCCCAAGGGUCAUUACAUAUCAUAGCCGCAAGGCAUUGCCUCAAGAGCUAUUUCAUAUCAUUGCCCCAAGGGCCAUUACACAUCAUAGCUGUAAGGCAUUGCCUCAAGAGUUAUUGCAUAUCAUUUUCCUAAGGGCUAUUGUAUAUCAUUUCCCUAAGGGCCAUUACACAUCAUAGCCGCAAGGCAUUGCCUCAAGAGCUAUUGCAUAUCAUUUCCCCAAGGGCUAUUGCAUAUCAUUGCCCCAAGGGCCAUUACAUAUCAUAGCCGCAAGGCAUUGCCUCAAAAGCUAUUGUGUAUCAUUGCACCAAGGGCCAUUAUAUAUCAUUUCCACAAGGCGUUACCCCAAGGGCCAUUGCAUAUCAUUGCCGCAAGGCGUUGCCCCAAGGGCCAUUACAUAUCAUUGACGUCAGGCGUUGCCCCAAAGGCCAUUACAUAUCAUUGCCACAAGGCGUUGCCCUAAGGGCCAUUAAAUAUCAUUCCACAAAGGCCAUCUCAUACUAUCGCCCCAGAAGGCAUUCAAUAUCUGUUGAUGCGCUUGACAGAAAUGCUGGCAUCAAGGAUAUCUCAUUAUUUUAUGAAUUAGCAUCUGAAUGCAUUGAGAGCACACGAUUUAAAGGGAUGCCUUUAAGUCACUAUCUAAGAAUGAAUGAUAUAUAAUAUUUCCUAAAGACUAACAAUUUGAGGGAUUAUCUAUAAGUCAUACUGUAUCCAAGUCCGAAUGAUGUGCAGGAACACUUGAAAGCUAGCGAUUGGAGGGAUAUCUGUAAGCCAUCUCUUACCCAAAGUCGAAUAGUGUGCAGGAUUAUCUAAAAGCUAGCAAUUCAAAGGAUAUCUAUAAGUCUCCUCGUAUCCAACAUUAAAUAAUGCGCAAAAUUAUCCAAAUAUUGACAAUUUAAGAAAAUUUAUAAAUCGAUCAUCGGCUAAAACCGAAGAGGUUGUCAAUCCACAUACGAAAAGUGAUAUAGGUAACCAAAAGGGUUGCCACACCAGCACAAGAUUACACGGUUGUAGGAACCAUUCUUCAUAAAGUAUCACCGGUGUCCAACAAGGCCACCCCACUUUGAAUACAUAUUCAAUCAACAAAUAUCAUAAUUAUACAACAACCAAGAGGGUUGUUGUGUUUGUUGUUACCAUUUAUUUUAUUCCAAACAGGUACAUGAAGAGAUGACUUUACUUUUCAGGCCACAACUCAUGUAGAGAUAUGGUAAAAGACUACCUACCUCUUUCGUGAAUUAUGUUAGCACUAAUAAUUUUGUUUGAAAUAUUGUCGAGGGCAUCCGAGAGGAUGAAAAAUCUCAAAUCAAACCCAUAGGUGCAGACGACUCCCAAAAAGGACGCAGCACUACGUGGAACUCUUUCUUUGCAGUAAAACGGGACAUAGUCUAGAGAGAGACAUCAAACUCUUUGGAUGCGAGAUAAAGGAUGAUCACCACCACCAUCUAACCACAUCCCUGUUAGAAGGCAUGUGGAUAUUUUGGGAUAUUCUAUUUUCAGCUUCACCUUUGGGAUAUUUCUUAAUUGAUGUCGAGGGUAACCUUCUCUUUCUUCCAAAUUUGAGUGAUAAGAUUCCUAGAGUUUUUGAAAAUUAUGCCCAGGUAAAUUCUUACCUAUGGAUGUGAAGAGCUCCACGUUCAUGGUUAAGAGGUUACAAGCCUCUUUUCCACAACUCGAUCAACUUGUCACUCAUCUUGAGCCAAAGAUCGUCUGAAAUAAAAGACUAUCUUUUCUACCGAUUGAGUCGAACUACAAGUAGUCUGAUUCCCUGAGUCCUGGGGAUAUGUAGGCUGGGCUCUACGUAGAAAAAUCGAUUGCAUUUCAACCUCCCCCCAAAUCCCUUUAUUCUCCAGCUUCUCGAUUUAUCAAAAACUCUAAAAUCGUGAUAGUUGGUGAAUUUUCUUGAAAAUUGUGCUUGCAAUCAAGAUUUAUGAACUACAAAUGGCCUGAAUUCUCAUGUAACCUGAGAUAUGUAGGAAACCUGAUACCGAGGUUCGGCCAUAACUCCAUGAAAUUCAUGCAGAAAACCAACCUCUCUUAGAUAUGAAUUUAUGGUCGGACAAAAAUUGGGAACAUCAACCUCCCUUUGCCCAGGGUUACUUGCAUCCACCCUACCCAAAAGGAGGGGGCAGUUGUUGACACCUAAUUUUGGACCUCCAUAACUAAGUUUAAUUCGAAGUUUCUUCGAUUUUCAAAUAAAAUCACAACAAUUAUUUUUUCCAAAUAAAUGCAUUUUAAAAUAGGUAUUUGGGCUAAAUUUGUUAUUUAAGUGAUAAUUAUAUAUUUUCGUAUUUGUUUUGCAAAAUUGUAUAAAUGAUGUCAUCUAAAUGAAUAUUUUCAUCAAAAUUGAACUUUAAAUUAAGGAUCAUUUCAAAAAAAUAAUUAUUAAAAUCUUGAGCUAAGUAUUAAUUUAUUCUCGAAAAUGAUUUAUUUAGAUAAAUAUGCAUUUGAUUUUAUUAAAUCAAGAAGCUCGGGAUUAAGCAAGGUAUUAAUUCGUAUCGAAUUUCAAUUUAAUUUAGCCAAUCUAUUAGAUUUGACCAUAAUUGAAAAUUGGUCAUAAUUGCAAUGCAAUUCGUCAAUUGAUUUUUAAUUUGGUCAAAAUAAAUAAAUAUGGCUAGAUUUUAAAUUCUAAUUGGGGUUAUAUUUUAAAUAACCCCAAAAUUCUCAAAAACUCUCAUAACUUCUACCCAAUUCCCACCAAAAAAUAAAUUCAAAUUGUACUACAUUGUACUAUUCCCACCAACUUUGUCUUUUUCCAAUUUUGAAAUUCAAAGAUUGUACUACAUUGUACUAUCUCCCCCACAUUAUCUUCCACCUCACCUUAUCUUUAAUUUUUACAUUCCAAAACCCUCCCUAAAUAUUUUUUCUUCCACAUUGAUGGAUGACAAGAAAUAAAUCUCUAUCCUUUCCUAUAAAUACUUUUCUACCACAUUGGUGAAGGAGAGAAAAAAAAACACCUCAUUCUCUACUAUAAAUGCUACCACUACUUUGGUAGAGAGGGGAGAAGAAAGAAAAAAAAGGCUAGAAAGGAGAAAAAAUCCUUUUGAGCAAAAAUAGUUAUUUUUAUUUAGUAAAAAUUUUUGUUUCAUAAAGUUGAUCGGCUAAUCAAAAUUUUUGAGUUGCCGACGACGUUUUUCGAUGGUGGUUGAUUCCAACGAAGCUCGUAGUCUCGUUUUGCUGCCCCCAAAAGGUAAACACACCUUUUUUCUUUUUUUAUUAAUUUAGUUUUUAUUAUCGUUUUUCUCUUCAUCCUUUUUCUUCUUCGUAGUUCAUAGAUAUAAUUUUAUUUGCUGGGAUUGUAUGUUCUAGAUGGCCUUGAAGGCCCUAGGACGUUGUGGUAUCGAUAUUUUAAUUAUUUUCAUGUUCAUGAUAUAAAAAUGAGCUAGCAAUAGUUGUAUGUGCCUUUUUUGACUUUAUUCUUUAAUUAUUUUNNNNNNNNNNNNNNNNNNNNNNNNNNNNNNNNNNNNNNNNNNNNNNNNNNNNNNNNNNNNNNNNNNNNNNNNNNNNNNNNNNNNNNNNNNNNNNNNNNNNNNNNNNNNNNNNNNNNNNNNNNNNNNNNNUUUUUUACUUUAUUCUUUGAUUAAUUUGAAUAAAGUUUAGAUCUUUACUUGAAAAACGAUACUCAUGUCUUGUUUAAUCUUAUUGUUGGUAGAUAUAUUUGUUUUUAGCAUGUAAAGUUAUUUCCUUUAUGUUGAAAAAAUAGAUAAUAUAGAUUGUUUCUCAUUUUUUACUUUAUUCUUUGAUUAUUUUGGAUGAAGUUUAGAUCUUUACUUGAAAAACAAUACCCAUGUCUUGUUUAAACUUAUUGUUAAUACAUAUGUUUUUUUUAGCAUGUAAAGUUGUUUAUUUUAUGUUGGAAGAAUAGUUAUUAUUAUUUGUUGCGCCUUAAUAAAAAUAGUAAUUAGUUAAGUCAAGAAUUUGUCAUUUGCUUACAAAUUAUUGUAAUGGAUUUCAAAACCCUCAUAUAAGAUAUGAAGUGCUAGCUUUAUUUUUCAUCCAAGAUAUUUAUUCUUCUUUGUUCAUAUGUUGUCUUUUCAAAAUGAUAAGAAAGUUCAAACUUUUGCGGCUAAAUAAAAUUAUUUGGAUAUUUUUGACUCAUGCAUAGUAUGAUUGUGAAACUUUUGCUUUACAUUUUUUAUUUGUUGACUGUCAUUCUUGUGCAAGUGUGUUUAUUCUUGUCAUUCAAAAAUUGGUUCUUGAUAGUUUCUUUUACUUUGAAAUAUGUCACUUUUAUGCCUUGAACAUAUAUUAAUUUCUUUAUCUUUUUUUUGCAUGCAAAAAAAUAUCUCGAGUUCAAAUGGACUCCUCUCCUCCUGAAUUUCGUAAUGGGUAAAUGAGGCUCACCCAUUCUAGUCAAGUUCGAAGUUUAAAUCCAAGGUCCACUACAUGGCGUGCGGGUGCUAGAAGAGAGACAAAGAAGGAAAAUAGGUCAAAACCCAUUGAUGAGGUCACUAAAAGACUUGAAAAGUCUCAAUUUUUAUUAUUGUCUUCUUUUUAUUUAUUCAUUUAGUCAUUUAUUUAUUCAUUUAUUUCGGCCUUGAAGCCAAAGUUGUAUUUAAUACAGGUGGAGCAAGACUCGAGCCAAAGGCUCGAAAAAUAGUUUAGGACAGGUGAAAUGGGUUGGAACCCCAACUAGACUAGGACAGGUUUCGUUGAUUAGGGCCUAAUGGCCUAAAUCCUUUACUUUCUCCUCCCUUCCCCUUUUAUUUGUUUAUUUGUUUAUUAGUUUUGUUUAGACUUAGUUAAAAUUCCUACUAAGUCGCCUAAAUCUAUUUUACAUAAGUCUUUUUUUUUUUUUUGAAAAAAUCAAAUCAUUAUUUCAACAAAUUAAUCUUUUCGAAGUUAAUCAAAAGAUGAUUUUUAAACAGUCCAGAUAACCACAAGUUAGCAGACGUUUUAGGUGCCUAAUACCUUCCUAAAACAUUAAUAGGAACCGCUUAUCUAGAAUCUCUAACUUAAAAUGAUUUUCCUGUUUUGCAUCGUUUAAAAUAUUUUAUAAAGGUUUCUUAAUUCCUUUUCAAAAUUACGUGGCGACUAUUUCAAAAAUCAAAAAAAAUUGCAAAACAAGACGUACCUUUUAGUCAAGUCAUUUCCUUUGAUUCCUAUAAGACGUACCUUUUAGUCGAGUCAUUCCCUUUGACCCCUAGAAGACGGCCUUUUAGUCGAGUCAUUCCCUUUGAUUCCUAUAAGACGUACCUUUUAGUCGAGUCAUUCCCUUUGAUUCCUAUAAGACGUACCUUUUAGUCGAGUCAUUCCCUUUGGCCCCUAGAAGACGUACCUUUUAGUCGAGUCAUUCUCUUUGAUUUCAUUUAGAUAUACCUUUUAGUCGAAUCAUCCCCUGAUUCCUAUAAGACGUACCUUUAGUCAAGUCAUUCUCCUUGAUUCUCAUAAUGAUGUGACUUGCACAAAAGUCCUUUGUUGAUAAACUGGGGCAAAAAUUUAAUUCUUGUGUUGGAACUUCACUUUUCUGGCUAAUGAAACCUCUUUAUAAUAAUCUUUGUUUGGAAUAAUUUUCUUUUUAGUUUUGAUGUGAUUUUAGGAUCCCGCCUGGAGAACAGGGUGAGGAAAUGAGAAGUCAAGAAAUAAAGUGAAGAAGUUGAAAGUCAAGCAACAAGGUUUCAAUUGAAAGUUAACAGAUUGAUGAAAUAGCAAGUCAGGAGUCAGCCUGAAGAACAGGGUGAUGAAAUUGCAAGUCAGGAGCCCACAUGAAGAACAGGAUGAUAAAAUGGCAAGUCAGGAGCCCGCCCGAAGAACAGGGUGAACAAAUGAAAAGUUAAGCAACAAGGUGAAGCAAUUGAAGACCAAGCAACAAGUGAUGAAAUUUCAAAUCAGGAGCCCGCCUGAAGAAUAGGGUGAUGAAACUCAAGUCAAGAGUCCAACAGAAGCUGCGUAGAUAGGAUUUUGUAAUUUCAUUUAUGUUUUUAACUUGUAAUUUUUAUUUUUGAUGUAAUAACAGAGCCGCAGACCAGAACCUCGAUAGGACCUCACUCGACUCUCCAACUCAGCAUAGUCCAUCUCCUUCCAAUCCUUUGAGAUAACUGUCACUCGAUUCUCUCAUAACUUGGGUAGGUAGGAUGUCCUAAGUCACGACCUGAUUUCCCUCCUUCCUCGUGCUCUGUGCUUUUGAAUAAAGGUCAGGAAGAAAUUCUGUCUCGUUGUCUACUACUUUGUAUGAAAACACCAUGUGCUUACAUCCAAAGGGGGCAUGAUGUAGACACAUAAUUUUGUCCUUUCCCAAAAAUAUUUUAAUCAUUUUAUUUUAUUUUAUUUUUAUUUUAUUCACAUUACCAUACUUUUUUUCAAUUGAUAAUUUCUCCCUAAACAAAAGAAUUAAAUAUAAUUAAAUACAUAGCAUCUUUGUCACCUCACUAUGCCAGCUCAACACCUCACUUUCCAUUUUUCAUUGGAUACCUGCAAAAGGAACACGCCCUACUCAUUUUUUCACACGCCACCCUCAUCUUUCCACAUGCCACACACUUAUUCCCACAAGCCACCAAUUAUAUACUUCCACAUAGGAUAAUAAAUAAAGAAAAAAAAUAUAUAAAAGAAAAAUUCUAAAAGGAGAAAAGGGGGAGGCUUAUUCUUUCAUCAUCAUAUUCUCCACAAUAACAACAAUCAUCAAAUCAUCUUCCUCACAAGAAGAACAAAAAAAGUAAGGGAGCGAAGAGAGAAUCGCUCGAGAGAGAGAAAAAAUCGAGAGAGAAACAGUAUCAUGAACAGUACCAUAAAUAGUAUCGUGAACAAUGUUGUGAACAGUGCCGUGAACAGUGUUGUGAACAGUACCAUGAACAGUGUCGGUUUUUGAGUUCGAUUGGAUUUACGGAGCUUCAGUUUGGGGUCUCAAAUUUUUCAAUACGGAGUUGGAGUUCGUCAUUGUUGAGGUCCUAUUAGGAAUUCUAUAGUCUGGGCUUUCUUGAUUUUAUCAUCAACAAAAUCGAUUCUUUAAAGGUCUAUCUCUCAACUCUACUUUUUUAUUAUAUCAAAGUUGGUUAAUAUUGUGAUUUUGUGGUGCGGUUUUGAAUAUUUCGAGCAAAAUGUUAAUUGUUGUUGUGGAUAUGAAUGAUUGGUAUGCUUAAAUGUUUGAAUCUUUGUUGGGGUAUGUGUUGUUGGUUUCGGAUUUUGAAAAGUGAUUUGAUAGUUGAACUGAUUUAAUAAUGUGGUUAAAAAUGGAUUUGGGGGAUGAAAUUGAGAAAUUGAUUAAAAAAAAAGUUGAAUUUAGAUUAGCUUUAGUUUAUUGUUGUUUUGUUUAAUUCAUAAUAAGCAUGAAUAUUUUUGGAAUGUGAUAAAAUUAUGAAAUGGAUAGGCGAAUGUUGGUUUGGGUAGGCAAAAAUUUAGGAAUAAGUUUUUUUGUAGAAUGUUUGAAUGUGGAAUUUGAGUUGAACGGUUUGGUUUUAGUUCUUGCAUUUGAAAAUAUAUUCAUUUAAUCGGGGAAUGCCCCGCGAUCACUUGUAUUUAUUCACCGGGGAAUGCCCCAAAGUAUUUUGUAUUUGGAGGACGUCUGUGAUGAAGGCCGGAGGCAUCGGGUAGCAUGGGAGCAUAGUAUAAAAUUAGUGUAGGGUACAAUAGGAUUUACAUUUUCACAUUCUUUUUCUAUUUUGGACUGUAUAAUUGGACUGGAUAUUGUUUUUGGAUUUUUUUGCUUGAUUGAUCAUUUUAUUUAUGUUUGGUGUGGUUUAUACAUUCACAGUGUCCAAAUUAGCCGAUAUACUCCACCAAGUGACCGUGGUCGAACCACGGGAUCGAGGGGUGCCUAACACCUUCCCCUCGGUCAACAAAAUUCCUUAGCUGGAAUCUUUGUUUGCAAACCAGUUUAAAGAGUCAAAUGGUUUUGAAAAGGAUUGUCCAAUGGUGACUUGGCACACCAGAUUAUGCCAAGUGGAAACUCUAAGUUUUGAAUGUAAAAGGACCUUUUCAAAACAAAUUAUCUUCAUUUGGUCACUUUAAUAAUAACCCUUUCGAACCUUAAAUAAUUUUUUUUAGAGUUGUAAAAGGGGUGUGACACCUGGAAUAGGGAAUCACUGGUAAAAAAUGAAUGCAAUUGUUCUAUCCUGGAUCAUGAGUGUUGUAGCUAAAAGUCUACUUGGAGGAAUUUUGUAUGCUACCAGUGCACAGACUGUGUGGAGUGAUCUUUGUGAGAGGUUCAACAAGGUGGAUGGCUCAAGAACCUUCAAUAUUCAUAAAGAAAUUACUACCUUAUCUUAAGGAACAGCUUCAACAUCUCUCUAUUAUUCUAGAUUGAAAGAUUUAUGGGAAGAGUUUGAGGCAUUAGUACCUAGCCCAGGAUGCAGUUGUGAGACUUCAAAAGACUAUGUGGCUCAUCUUCAGAAACUUAAGUUGUUUCAGUUUUUGAUGGGGUUAAAUGAAUCGUAUGGACAGGCAAGAAGUCAAAUCUUGUUGAUGAGUCCUCUCUCAAACAUUAACCAAGCAUAUUUUAUGGUAAUCAGUGGUGAGAGUCAAAAAGCAUAGGACUUACAGCUGGUAUUCUUGGGUUUAAUCCUACAUCAACUGGAUAUGAGUCAUCUAUGUUCUCUAGAGGAAAUGAUUCUUAUUAUAGAGGAAAUGAAUCAAUAUUCAUGAGAGGAGGUCAGCAACACAAAUAGCAAAAAAGAAAUCAAACAGUAUAUUGUGAAAUUUACAAAAUCUGCAGUCACACAAGAGAAAAUUAUUAGAAAGUAGUAGGUACCUUGCUAACUUCAAGUUUAAGGAAAGAAAUGGAUCUAUGCAAGUGCAAAUGCAGAAUGCAAUACUAAAAGUGAAAAUACAUGACAAAUUAUACAUGUCAUUCAAUUUUCAAGGACUCAAGAUCCUAGCACUACAACUACAAAGACCUUCUGCACUUAAUAAUUUUGUCUCCAGUUCUGUUUGUGAUUUUACGAGUGAUACUGAUAAGCUAGAUAUAGUGUUAUGGCAUAAAAUAUUAGGUCGUGCUUCAACUAAUGUACUCAAAAGAAUCUUAUCCAUAGAUAAAAGUAUUAUCAACCAGUAAAGUCUCUGAGUGUAUAGUUUGUCCAUGUGCUAAGCAAGUCAGAAUUCCUUUUCCUGCUACAUGUAUUAAGACUUCUAGCAUCUUUGAGUUGCUUCACAUGGAUGUAUGGGGGACUUAUAAGGUUACCACAUUUGAAGGAAUAGAUAUUUCUUAAUAAUGGUUAGUGACUACUCUAGAAUGACUUGGAUCUACUUACUUAAGCUUAAGUCUGAUGUGUGUGUUUCAAUUUCUCAAUUCAUUCCGUUUGUUAUGACUCAAUUUGAUAAAAACAUUAAAAUCAGUCAGAUAAUGGAACUGAGUUUAUAAACUCAGUAUAUCAUACUCUGUUCACAAAGUUAGGCAUUAUCCAUCAAACAUCAUGUGCCUACAGCCCUCAACAGAAUGAAGUGGCUAAAAGAAAGUACUAACACAUUUUAGAAGUAACUAGGGCCCUAAGAUUUCAAGGUUCAAUACCUAUAAAAUUCUGGGGUCUGUGUCAAAGCAGUUGUCUAUAUCAUUAACAGGCUGCCUACUACUAUAUUAGAUCAUAUAUCUCUAUAUGAGAAACUAUACUGCAAGAAACCUAACAUCAGUCAUAUGAGAACUUUAAGUUGUUUAUGUUAUGCUAAAAUAGUUCAACAAACAGAUAAACUACAAUCUAGAACUAGAGAAUGUAUUUUAAUAGGCUACUCUGAAACUCAAAAAGGCUAUUUACUAUAUGAUCAUACUAAUAAGGUUCUUUGUUAACAGAGAUGUCAGCUUUAGAGAAGACAUGUUCUCUUUCAAAGAAAGAGUCCCUGAAUUUCAACAUAUUACAGGUGCUAAAUUGAAUGAAACCUUAUUGCAUUGGUCAGACAUGGAUACACAACAUAUGAGGCACUCACAAGAUACAUCAACUUCUCAACCAACAUCAAAAGAACCUGUUGAUCAUAUGCUACAAGAACAACUUGCAGAGAUGCAGGUUGAUCAGGAUCAAACUGCAGACAUACCUCCAGCUGAGGAAUAAGUACCAGUACCUGUAAGAAGGACUACCAGAGAAAGAAAGGCUCUCUUAUGGCUAAAGGACUUUGUGUCCUUAAACAUUCAUCAGGAACAACCUAUGCUUUGGGUAAAUACCUGACUUAUGACAAACUAUCUCCCAAGUACCAGGAAUGCAUAGCAAAAUCAACUACUACUACUGAACCUACCAACCACAGUGAAGUUGUGAAAGAUCCUGGAUGGAUAGAAGUAAUGAAAAAUGAGAUUAAUGCACUUGAAGGGAAUCAAACUUGGGAGAUCGCUAGUCUACCUGAAGAGAAGAAACCUAUAGGAUGCAAAUGGAUCUUCAAAGUAAAAUACAAAGCUAUUGGUGAUGUAGAAAGAUUCAAAGCUAGAUUGGUUACUAAAGGUUAUAGUCAACAAGAGGGAAUAGACUUCCAAGAGACAUUCUCACCUGUUGUUAUGAUGAAAACAGUGAGAGCAAAUCUUAUUAUUGCAUAUCAAAAACAGUGGUACAUACAUUAGAUGUGUACAAUGUUUUCCUAUAAGGUGAUCUUCAAGAGAAGAUUUACAUGGACCUUCCACGGGGAUUCAAGAGCCAGGGGGAGAAGAAACCUAUAUGUAGACUCUUAAAAUCCGUAUAUGGGCUCAAACAGGCUCCCAAGCAGUGGCAUUCCAAGCUAUCUAAGGCUUUAAUGAAAAUGAGUGCACGACCCAAGCCGAGGCCCUGGCCGCAACGGGCAUCCCAAACCAUCAAGGCCCGAGAGACCCCUAUAACUCCCCAACUACUAGUGAUAUUGUCUGAUCUCGGCCCAGCUCGCACAGCUUCAAAAUGCGUCAAUAGGGACUAAGGUUUUCUUACAUAUAUACCCAGCAUACCUCUUAUGUUUUGUUGAUGUAGGACUCCUUUCUAAGUAAGGGUAUUACAUACCCCCCUUCUUAUGGACUCAGCGUACACCCCCUAUUAUGAACUCAGCAUCCUCACUGAGAUUUGCCUCACCGAAUGAGAUUUACCUACACGCAGGACUGAGGUUUGCCCUGCCUCUCCAGGAUUUGCCUACAAUUUAGCCCACAUUGACAGGGCUGACACAGGAGCGGCUCUGAUACCAUUCUAUCACGACCCGAGCUAAAGGCCCUGGCCACGAUGGGCAUCCCGAACCAUCAAGGCCUGAGAGACCCAUAUAAAUCCCCAACCCACUAGUGAUAUUGUCCACUCUGGGCGUACACCCACACGGCUUUAAAACGCAUCACUAGGGAGUAAGGUUUUCUUACAUAUAUACCCAGCAUCUCUCCUGUGUUUUAUCAAUGUGGGACUCCUUCCUAAGUUGGGGUGUUACAAUGAGAUUCAAGUAGUGUCAACUAGAACAUUCUCUAUAUAUAAAGCACAACAGUAAAGGUAUUACCAUUGUCCUAUUCUAUGUAGAUGAUAUGUUAAUCACAAGAGACACUCUAAGACUAAUUGAGGAUAUGAAAGAGAAGCUGCAAUAAGCUUUUAAGAUGAAAGAUCUAGGUGAACUCAAAUUUUUCUUGGGUAUUGAAUUUGCAAAAUCAAAAGAAGGUAUACUAUGCACCAAAGGAAAUAUGCAUUAGAACUUGUGUCUGAGCUGGGACUUGGUGCAGCUAAACCAGUUGACAUACCUGUAGAUACAAAUAUCAAGUUGACUAAAGGAGUAUGAUGACCAUGUCUACAAGAAUGAACAAGGAACCAGUGAUCCACCAGCAAAUGUGCAUACUUAUCAGAGGCUUAUAGGAAAGCUAUUAUAUCUCACAAUGACCAGGCCAAACAUUGCUUACAGUGUUUAAAAUCUCAUCCAGUUCCUACAAUAACGAAAGAAACCCCACAUGGAUGCAGCCAUCAGACUGGUCAAGUAUAUUAAGAAGAAACCAGGACAAGGAAUGUUGAUGUCUAGUCAGGUAAAUACUGAUGUUUCAGCAUGUUGUGAUGCAGAUCGGGCAUCAUGUCCAUUUUCAAGAAGAUCCAUUACUGGCUAUCUAGUGAAGCUAGGAGCAACUAUUAUUUCCUGGAAGUCUAAAAACCAAAACACCAUUUCUAGGAGUUCAGCUGAAGUUGAAUACAGAAGCAUUGUUGCAACUAUGGCUGAAUUAGUUUGGUUACUAGGACUACUUAAGGAGAUUGGAAUUAGUGUCAAACAACCAGUGAAGAUCUACUCUAAUAGCAAAUCUGCUAUACAGAUUGCAUCUAAUCCUGUACAUCAUAAGAGGACCAAGUACAUUGAAAUAGACUGUCAUUUUAUAAGGGUGAAGAUCAAUCAAGGACUAGUAAAAAUCAACUACAUUCGUACCAGAGAUCAACCAGCUCAUGUUCUAACUAAAUAUCUCAACGGAGCUCAACAUGAAUACUUAAUGUCCAAGGUAGGCAUCCCAAAUUUAUUUGAGAUUACCUAGCUUAAGGAGGAGUGUUGAAAGAAGUAUAUCAAGCUCAUCGCAAAUGUAUGAAACCAAUGAAACGGUAAUAACUAUUUCAGGAAGUUAGUUGACUGUUUCAGGAAGUUAGUCGACUAACUAACUCUAUGAAGUGGAGUUGUUAUGAGUUAGUGAAUUUGUUAGCUUGUAGAUCCUUUCAUGUAACUCUAUAUAUAUAGUCCACUUAGUGAAUGUAAAAGGCAGAACAAUAAGAUUCAAUCAAUAUUGAAGUUCCCUCUCUUCUUCUCUACAACUUCUUCCUACUUCUUCUUUUCUCCUCUUCUUCUGCAUUAACAGAUUACAGAGUUCACCAUGGAUGAACUCUGAUUAAAUUCAAAUAAUCUAAACAUAGAUUUGAUGGAGAAUAAACAUUAGAAAAAUCUCCAAAAAAAAGGGUUAAACUUCGUCCUAAACAGAUUUGAUGGAGAAUACAUUUUAGAAAAAUAUUUGACGGUACAUUCUACACCUUGCUAAAAAAUCGAUCCUUUGACUACUCAAAGCAUUUGCAAUUGUCUUCAUUGGAAUUUUGGCAGCAUUGCUGAUCUCCACCUUGAAAGUUUUCAACUAAUAAGGACAUUGUAAUCUUUUUUUGAUUGCUUUUAAAGAUAACUAUGAACACCGAACCUAUCUCAAUAUUACAAAAAUAACGAGAAAUUUGAAGAGUAAAAAAGUGAAGCCCAAAAUGUAUAAAACAACCGAUUUGUGUCAAUUUCUUAAAACAUCACUAAUGUAUGUCAAUUUGGUUUCUUAGUAAUUGAUACAUAGUGCCAAUUUCUUCAGUCAAACUGAUAUAUUUUUUCACACUACUCAAAAACUGGGAUUAAACAUGUUUAUAAAAAAAAAUGCAAGUUAAGGUUCAGUAGAAGAAUUAUCCACUCAUACAUUAAGAAAGCUCAAUAUUUUAUCAUACAUUGAACAUAAAUAUAUCUUGUAUAUAUAGUCAUGAUAAAAAAAAAUAUAUGUACAAUAAAGCAUAAAAGUACCCGAUAAAGGUACAUCGGGACCUCCCAUGACGGCCCUCCAGGUUGUGAAAGAGUGUCGAAUGGCAUAUCAAGAGCUAAAUCGGUGUUUACAUGUACAAAGCCAGGACAUAAUGUAUUGAAACAAUGAGUAUUACCUGUCUAGAAAACAUAAAGACAUAUCUUCAGUGUCGCUCGCAGCCAAGAUUUAUACUAAGACACCGCGGUUCAAAGUAUGAGGAAAUACAUGCACAAAGAUGUCAAAGAGAAUUCAAAUGCCUAAAAUAAUUUUAACAACCAUAUAUAUAAACAAUGUAUUUUCUUGCAAAAGGGGUUCACAUUGGCCCUACCUGGCUCCGCCACUGCAUUUCUGAUAUUUAAAUACGAAACGCAGUAGUUUCAGAAAAGCAAGAUUGAAAUCAUCCAAGUACUAAGAAAAAUUAUCUGAAAAUGUAUGAAAAGUCUAAUUUUAUUAUCCCCAUAUAAUGUUGGAUCUACCUGAAAUACGAAAUAACGAUAUUAUAAUAAACAACUAUGGAUUUAUAAUGAAGUCUACAAUUGAAAUUUUGGAGACCUUAAUCCUUUCUAUGAAACAAUUAAGUUACUUAUCGGAAAGGUUAGUAUAAACUUACUCUCCAACCAACUUGUACGGCAUUCGACCCUUCUAGAAUUCUUAUUCGACAACCACAAUGUUGUUUGCCUUCCACGUGAGGAUUGUGCAAAUCAGGUGCCAUUCCAGCUCCCGAAAACUUUUUAUUUAGAUCUUUUAAGGUUUGAAGUAUUAUACGCUGAAUAUAAAAAAAAUAUUUUUAUUAACUUACAUAAUACAUAUCCAAAGUAUGACUCUAUCCCAAAGUCAAAACUGAAAAAUGAAAAUCUAACAAUAUUUUCAAAGUCAUGUACCUUAUAUCCAUAUGAAGAUGUGUAGCUUCUUCCUAUUGGCUCACUAUUGUUGUUGCCCUGCAUAAAAUGUAUUGCAAUAUAUGACUUUUGCCACAACAAUUGAAACCAAUUAAACUUGUUUAUAUUUGUGCAUGUAUUGUUUUUAUUAUUAUAAAAGAAAUCUUAAAUUAUUAGAAUAUGUAUAAGAGUUAAAAUAAUGCAUUCUCAUGCGUAUAAUAGGAAUGAAUUAUUCAAGUAGAAGCAUCAAAUUGUUCAUAAAUUAUCUUACGCCUACAACUUGAUCUUUGAAGUUGAUGGGUUCCGGCGGUGGCAUAUCUCUUUGUCUGAUGAGAUCAUCCUUCGUAAUUCUCUUAACGGGAACAGUUCCAGAAGGACAACCUCGAUCUUUUGACCAUAUUGUCGGCAACCAACUAAUUGCUGAGGCAUAUGAAUUUCGUUUUAUCCCAGAUGGUAAAGUAGGUUUCAUCUGUUAAUCCAAAUAUUCAAUUAUAUGUCAACAAUAUCAUAUAUGUGUACAAAAAUUAAAGUAAAAAGAGUAGAGAUGUGCCUUGGGAUGAAAAUGAUGGUCCUUUAGCAACGGGUGAUCAAAUGCAUAUUGUUUGUAGAAGUCUACGCAGUUGUAUAAGUCCCCGUAUUUAAUCUGUGAGCAAAAAAAUCAUAAAUAAGUUGUCGAAGUUACGGUACUAAUACAUCUUACUAAGUUGUGGCGCCUUCUGUCUCAAUUUAUCUAUCAUGAUUUCUAAAAGUAACUAUCCCCUCCUAGCCAAUCUCCCGUUGGAUCAAGGAUCAUGAUAAUUAGAAUCAGCCGUGGGGCUGAUUGGAUGAACUAAUUAUUAUUUUUUUCAUUAUAUCCUGGUAAUUGUUUCCGAAAACAAGAGACACCUUAAUAGAGUAAAUAUCUAAGGAAGAGGAAUUAUAUUUUAAAUUCUGAAAUGGCCAAACCCAUGGAUAGGACCUCAAACUUGUCCCGAAAAUUCACUUAAACCCCUAAACUAAGGUCUGUACCUAUCAAACCCCUAAACCCCCAAAUUUUGUUUCAGUUAGGCAUUUUUUACACAAUCAGCAAAAUAUAUAUAAAAAGUGUGUUACACACGCAUUGUAGACACGUAAUUUUGUCCCUCCCCGAUAUCAUUUUACCCAUUUUUACCUUACCCUACCCAUGUAAUUACAUUCCACAAAAAUAAAAAAAAAUAAAAAAAAACUCCCAACAAAAUCCCUAACAAACUUUAUUUCUUUUAAAUAUCCUAACAACCCUCACUCUCUCUUUUUCUUGUCCACAAAGAAAGAAACAUGGACUAAAAACAAAAAUAAGAGGAACCUUCCAGGAAGGGAGUACUCAUUCUUUUUCCAUUAUAUAUAACAAAGGGAGUGCACGAAAAAGGGGGGGGCGAACGAUUUUUUUCUACUUUCUUUCUCUUAUCAUCAUUAUCUACCCAUAAUACACCAAAAAAUCACACCCACCAUAAGGAAUUCAUCAUUCAUAACGCACACAGAUACACAAAAUGGCACACACAUCUCGCUCGAAAUCACGAGCCACGCCCUCGAAUCUCACCGAAAACACAGGUUUCGUGAGUGGGUCACCUUUUCCGGCGACAUACUCAUCGGAAUCGCGUCAAAGUCGUCACUAACACCUCCAAGCUCGUCAAAUCCGGUUUGAGUUUCUCAUUCUUACGAUUUUAGCUCAGUUUAUACUGGUUUAUAGUUUCUAUCGCGUAUUGGAGUGUUGGGGUUUCUCCCGUUUUGCGUUUUCUUCAUCGACAUUAGGCCGGGAUCUGACUGUUUUGGCCGUUGUUUGCUCAUAAGAGCGCAGUUUUGAUCGGGGUUACUUUUCUAUCAGAUUUUAAAGGUGCUUUGGGUCUGUCUAUUUGGAGAAUUAUUAUCGAUAUCGUGUUUUGGAUUCUGACGUGACCAAGUCGUGUCAAGAUUAGGAAUUCGAUUCUCAUAUCUAGGUUUACUCCUGUUUGAAAUCUGUUUGGUUGAGAAUCCCGGGUUACUAAGAAGGUUGAUCGUCGUUGAGGUUCCCGUUCGAGGAUUUUGGUCUUCAUAUUUCUCUUUAUUAUCGACAAAGACAUUUUAUCGAGGUCCAUUCUCUUAACCUGUUCUCUUUGCUUGAUCUCGAUUUAUUGAAUUGCCAUGAUUAUGUGUGAUGUGAUCAUGGUUGGUGGAUUUUUGUUGGUGUUAUGAGGUUAUAAUUAUGUGUUUGACGAUUGAAUUUCGUUAAUAUGUGGGAUGAAUCGGAGUAACGUUGAAGGUUUGAUUGAUAAAAAAUAAAAUUAGUGGGACGUGGAAUUGAAAUUGAUAAAAAGUAAGUGUUAAUUUAUUUUGAUUCAUUGAAUAUCGUUGAUGUGAUAGUAUCAUGAUAGGUCGAAUUGGAUAGGUAAAGAGUAGGUUCGGGUAGGCAAAAGUAGGACUUACAAUCGUUGAAUGAUGAAAAGUGUUUUGUUGAAAUGUGUUGAUUUAUGUUUUCGGAUUAAAAUGUAUUCAUUUGGCCGGGGAAUGCCCCGAAGGUUGAUGUAUUUUUUCAUCGGGGAAUGCCCCGACGUACUAUGUUGGCGAAAGACGUUCGUGAUGAACGUCCGAAGCAUCGGGUAAAGCACGGGAGCAUAGUUAGAAUUAUUAAAGGUUAGAUAGGAUUUAUUUUGCAUUUUUUAUAUUUGGACUGUAUAAAUUGGACUGGACACCGUACUUUUGAUUCAUUUUUGUUCUGUUUGUCUGUUUGAAUAGGUUUACAUGUUUGUGUGGUUUGUACAUUCGUAGUGUCAAAAUUAGCCGAUAUGCUCCACCAAGCGAUCGUGGUCGAACCACGGGAUCGAGGGGUGCCUAACACCUUCCCCUCGGUCAACAGAAUUCCUUAGCCAAAAUCUCUGUUCGCAAACCAGUUUAAGGAGUCAAAUGGUUUUGAAAAGGAUUUUCCAAUGGUGACUUGGCACACCGGAUUAUGCCAAGUGGCGACUCUGAAUAAAAAAUGUAAAUAGUCCUUUUUUUUGAAACAAAUUUUCAUCUUUGUCACUUUAAUAAUAAAAACCCUUUCAAAUUCUUAAAAUCAAUUCUUUUGGAGUUAAAAAAAGGGGUGUGACACCUCUGGCGACUCUGCUGGGGAAGAUAUUUCAAAAUUCGAGAUUAUUUUUGGAGUCGUGUCGACUUUGUUUGGCAUUAUGGGUGUAUAAACAUUGUUUGUGAUUAUUAUUUGUGUUAUUGUUAUCACUGUUGUGCGUUUUCGUGCUCUUUGUGCACAGUAUUUAUCCUAUGUGUUACCGCUUUUAUAUCUGGCAUCAUGUGUCUACCCCCAGGCCUUCUUUCUGUAACAAGUCCGUAGUACACGUGUUGUACACGACCUCUAGUUGAUUCACCCUUAUUUUAGGGAGGGAGCCGUCAGUGUUAUGAAGUAGGUGGAAAGAAAAGCAGCCACUAUCGACCAUACGCUCCCCCUAACAGCCUUGUUAGUGAACCACAACGUAGGUCAGCCUUUAGGUCAUGCUUAUGUGCAUCAUAUUGAGACCUAGCGGGACCCACAUGGCCCUUUGUAGGAGACUCACCUCUAAAGCAUCCCUACGUGCUAACUGUUGCAUCUUUAAGGGUAACGUGGUCAUUUGACGGACUGAUUUGAAAAAAAAAAUAUUUGUUAGGAGUAAGGUGCGUAGGCAAAAAA